AGAAGCAACUCCUUGACUUUGCUUCUCUCUCUCUCUCUUCUCUUCUCUUUGAAGCCUUAACCUAGAUGUGAAGCUCUCAUUUUGAGUUUGAUCAAAGCUCUCAAUCAACUUGAAUUUUCAAAUAUUGGGGUCCAGAGAUUGUUCAUCUUUCUACCAAUGUGGAUGAUGAGAUUGUCUGGGAAUCAAAGAACGAUGGAAUGCUUACAGUCAAGUCAACAUACGCAUUGCUCUUUUAUGAUCUAUGAGAUGGCAUCAGACGGGGCUCGAAGAAGUAUGGAAAUAGCCGGUACCACACAAAAUUCAAGCUUUUCUACAUGUUGCCAUGCAAGGUAAGGUACUUAUUAUUGAUAAUUUAAAGAAAAGGGGCUGAAUAAUGAUGAAUGUUCUGGUGUGGCCUUCUCAAAAAAUUGGUUAUACGAUGGUGUUGCCUAGAAGCUAUGAGGAUAUUAUGUAUUAUUUUCAGUUACCGUGGAUGUGGUGGUCUGGCAAAUUUUCGUAGCAGCAAUUAUGUGGGAGGUAUGGAAGGAAAGAAGUAGACAAAAUUUUGAAGGGGUGAUAAUGGAUGUAAAAAAAUUAAAAGGAAAAAUUAUACUGUCUUUGAAGUUGGUUUUAUAUCAGUAAAAAAGGCUUAUUUGGCAGGCUUUCAUGUAAGCUUCUCAAACGUCAUUAACCAGCAAUUUGAUAAGUCUCUCAGCUAGUAGAUAUAUAUGCUUGGCACCUUCUAAAAGGUGCUUUCAUUCAAUUGAAAGCUUUGAAGUUGCAGCGUUUGUUUGAUAAUAUUGGAGAGGGCCACUUUCACCCCAAGUUUCACCCAUUUGACAACGGACACAAGUCGGAACACCCACCCAGUGAGAUUCUCCGCUCUCCCUUGCCGACCUUGACAUUUGGGGAGCUGUGUACCUCAAGCCACUGAGCUUCUUGCCCCUCGAUCAACGGCCUUGUAUCUUGCCCUAUACCCUCUGCACCUACAAUCAAUGGAAAACCAGGUUUGAACUAUGGGUCCACGUAAGAUUGGUUUCAAUGGAUGGUGGUGUAAAUUUUACUUCUAAUAAAGGAGGCUAUUAAUGUGAAAAGAUACAUGGGUAGAUGUUAUCAUAAUUUGUGACCCAUGGUAUAAAUUGGUAUGAUCUUUCAUUCUCAUGGACUGCACAAAUCUGGCAAGGAAUAGGAUAUGAAACCUACAUCACAGUGGAAUUGGGAAAAUCUUGUGAUGUUUCUUUAAAGAAAAUGAGACCAUAAAGUUCACUCCAAGUUAUAAAAAGUUCUUGGAAAAAUCUUGUGAUGUUCCUCGAUAAAAAAAAUGAGACCAUAAAGUUCACUCCACGUUAUAAAAAGUUCUAUUAUGAAGGACGAUAUGGCUCUGAGGAGCAAGGUGUAUUUAAACAAGUAACUUUCCUGCUGAUGCUGACAUUCCACUUGUUCUCUGAGUUAAUGUAUUUGUUGCUCAUGAUACUUUUUUAACACUUACGGAAAAUGGCAAAGCUGUAGUGGAUGU